rnacentral:rRNA from 1 species
GACGUAGGGCGCAAGCGUUGUCCGGAUUUAUUGGGCGUAAAGAGCUCGUAGGCGGUUCAUUGCGUCAAUCGUGAAAUCCUGUGGCUCAACUACAGGCUUGCGGUUGAUACGGGUGGGCUGGAGUUCGGUAGGGGAGACUGGAAUUCCUGGUGUAGCGGUGAAAUGCGCAGAUAUCGAGAGGAACACCUGCGGCGAAGGCGGGUUGCUGGGCUGACACUGACGCUGAUGCGCGAAAGCCAGGGGAGCAAACGGGG